rnacentral:lncRNA from 1 species
UCCAUGGUAAACUCUGAACACAGAGCAGCCAAGGUUCCCCUCUGCCCUGCGUCUGCACCCAUGCUGCAGCGUUCCAGAGCACUCCUCAACAUCAAUCAGUUCAGGUGCGGCCCGGGGCUGGAGGCCAUCCAGGAGACAAUGAGCCCCUUUCCCAGAGAAGCCGAGUGCCCAAGGCACUGGGCUGUCGCCGUCAGAAGACUGCCGAGCGGAAGCCCUGCCCACCGAGGUGGCGGAGACAGGCAGGCCUGGGCAGCCGCUGGGGCGGAGGGACGGCUCUUGGAAACGGAAUCCGUACUUUAAUUAAAGUUUAUGCAGUUUUC